AUUGAACGCUGGCGGCAUGCUUUACACAUGCAAGUCGAACGGUAACAGGCCGCAAGGUGCUGACGAGUGGCGAACGGGUGAGUAAUGCAUCGGAACGUGCCCAGUCGUGGGGGAUAACUACUCGAAAGAGUAGCUAAUACCGCAUACGAUCUAUGGAUGAAAGCGGGGGACCGUAAGGCCUCGCGCGAUUGGAGCGGCCGAUGUCAGAUUAGGUAGUUGGUGGGGUAAAGGCUCACCAAGCCAACGAUCUGUAGCUGGUCUGAGGGGACGACCAGCCACACUGGGACUGAGACACGGCCCAGACUCCUACGGGAGGCAGCAGUGGGGAAUUUUGGACAAUGGGCGCAAGCCUGAUCCAGCAAUGCCGCGUGCAGGAAGAAGGCCUUCGGGUUGUAAACUGCUUUUGUACGGAACGAAACGGCUCUGGUUAAUACCCGGGGCUAAUGACGGUACCGGAAGAAUAAGCACCGGCUAACUACGUG
rnacentral:rRNA from 1 species